UACGUAGGGUCCGAGCGUUGUCCGGAAUUAUUGGGCGUAAAGGGCUCGUAGGCGGUCUGUUGCGUCGGGAGUGAAAACUUACAGCUUAACUGUGAGCGUGCUUCCGAUACGGGCAGACUUGAGGUAUUCAGGGGAGAACGGAAUUCCUGGUGUAGCGGUGAAAUGCGCAGAUAUCAGGAGGAACACCGGUGGCGAAGGCGGGUCUCUGGGCAGCAACUGACGCUGAGGAGCGAAAGCGUGGGGAGCGAACAGG
rnacentral:rRNA from 1 species